rnacentral:tRNA from 1 species
GCGGGCGUAGCUCAGGGGUAGAGCACCAGCCUCCCAUGCUGGUAGUCGCGGGUUCGAAUCCCGUCGCCCGCU